CCCAAAAUUUUAAGAAGCUUUUAAUUAAUUGAUAAAUAUAUUUUAUUAGUUAAAUUGAGUGUUAACAUUUCAUAUAAAUGUGUUUAAGAGGUAAUAGUUCAUUUUGUAAUUGGAUUUUUAUGAUUAUUCAACAAAACUCUUAUUCCCUUAUUUUAAAUACAUAUGAGGUGUCUCAAAUUAUGUUUAUUAAUGGACAAGUGUCUUGGCUCAUUUUCUUUUCCUUUAAUGAUUAAUCAAAACACCCAAAUUAAGCUACCUUUUCCCAAUUUCAUUUUCAACACUUCUGGAAAAAAAAAUAAGAAAGAUAAACUUCAAGAACAUUCCAUAUCCUUCCUCUCACUAGGAUCCUGUGAAUGGAAACCACCAUGAACACCACCCUUGCUCCACCGAAAACCCCAGCUCUCCUCCCUCUCUCGGGUUUUCUCUCCUCGAUCUACCGACAGUACCAUUCGCAUCCCCCUCCGUUUUCGGUGCUCUGUCCCAGCGCCGUCGCCUCCUCCCAGUUGUGGUGGUUGCAGCGUGGCUGUGAUGAUGCCGUACGGAGUUGAUGCUGUUGUUGAUGUUUCGUUGUUCUUGUUGUUUCGUGCCUCUCAACCAACUCUCUUUUGUCCUAUUUUGAAGUAAAUCAAGUGGGCCUUGUAAUUAAGGAAGGUAAUGACAUGAUUUUAUAACUUUACAUCUCUAGAAUAUUACUCACGUCAAUUGUAUUGGAUUAUUGGAGUUAGUGCUUAAUUUUGUUAAUUUGGGUUAGAAAGAAACUCAACUAAUUGAGUUAUAGUAUUAGCUACGGGAGAUUAUAUUUGCAGGUUCCAAGUUGGAUAACAUAAGUAAUAAUUUCUUAUGAUGUUGUGAGGUAAACUAUGGAGAUCAACUUGGAAAAUUGAUUAGUUGAUGGUGCUCGAGGAAGGAAUAUAUCAAUAGAGACGAAUAUAAAUAUUUUGGAAUUUGAGGUCGAAGGAAUAAGGUAUUGGGAAAGGCUCAGAUAUAGAUCAAGGAUGUGAAUGUGGAAGAAAUUUGUUGGCUAGAAUGUUGUGACAAAGCCAGGGAUUGUAAUAGUUUAAAUUAUCUUUGUUUUGUGAGUUAUUUUAAAGUUAAUUGUGGGAAUUAAUUCAGGAUUGGUCUAGUAAUUUGUAUCCUAAGUUUGGUUAGUCAUUGAUAAGUAUGUCUAAUUAGCAGCUCUAAAGAGCGGGCUGUUACAGGGAUUAUGCCUGACAUCUUUCAGCA